rnacentral:rRNA from 1 species
CCUACGGGAGGCUGCAGUGAGGAAUAUUGGUCAAUGGGCUUACGCCUGAACCAGCCAAGUCGCGUGAGGGAAGACUGCCCUAUGGGUUGUAAACCUCUUUUGUCAGGGAGCAACGCCGGCUACGUGUAGCCGGACUGAGAGUACCUGAAGAAAAAGCAUCGGCUAACUCCGUGCCAGCAGCCGCGGUAAUACGGAGGAUGCGAGCGUUAUCCGGAUUUAUUGGGUUUAAAGGGUGCGUAGGCGGAAUGCCAAGUCAGCGGUAAAAUCGCGGGGCUCAACCUCGCUCCGCCGUUGAAACUGGCGUUCUUGAGUGAGCGAGAAGUAUGCGGAAUGCGUGGUGUAGCGGUGAAAUGCAUAGAUAUCACGCAGAACUCCGAUUGCGAAGGCAGCAUACCGGCGCUCAACUGACGCUGAGGCACGAAAGCGUGGGGAUCGAACAGGAUUAGAUACCCUAGUAGUC